UACGUAGGGUGCGAGCGUUGUCCGGAAUUAUUGGGCGUAAAGAGCUUGUAGGCGGUCUGUCGCGUCUGCUGUGAAAAUCCGGGGCUCAACCCCGGACUUGCAGUGGGUACGGGCAGACUAGAGUGUGGUAGGGGAGACUGGAAUUCCUGGUGUAGCGGUGAAAUGCGUUGAUAUCAAUAGGAACUCCGGUGGCGAAGGCGGCAUACUGGUCCACUUCUGACGCUGAGGCGCGAAAGCCAGGGGAGCAAACGGG
rnacentral:rRNA from 1 species